ensembl:ncRNA F14F3.10 ncRNA
CGAUUUUUGAGAGUCAGUCCCUUUUAAAUAGUUAGCUUUGUAUAUGUAGUUGUAGGGUUUUCCUAUUCUCAUCUCGCUGCCAUACUAACAAAAUAUGUACAUUCAUACUGAACAACCGAAAUAUAAGCGGUACCGCGCUUCCUGAGUGAAUGUGCUCACGGAGGUGUGAAAUUGAGAUUGUUAUUGAGCUGUCUUUAGAGAG